GGGAGGCAGUCUUGUCUCGCAAGUCUGACUCAUAUCUUGAUUUCGUAAAAAAACAUUCAGAAAGCAAUUAAGCACGAAAAUAACAAAUUUUCCUUUCCGAUCUAGCCAGCAGGGUCGGAACAGCUCGGGUUCGUUCUGUCUUGAGAUUCCUUGUACAUUACCUUUCCUUUUCUAUUCAAGAGGGCUGUGGCCGUUCGGGUUCGUUCAGUCACAAAAUUCUUGGGUGGAAUCCUCUCCUUCAUACCAGGAGGGCCGGAACAGUUCAGGAACGUUCCGUUUCAAGAUUCCGGAACGUUCUUGAUUCGGUGGGUACGCGAUGCCUCGUGCCUUAGCAACCGCUUGGAAUCCGCCGAUUCGGCAUCGCCUGAUCGCGACCUCCAAGGUGGCACGUGGAUACCCUUGGUAACGACUAAAGUCAUAACUUAGAGACUAAAGUGCUGAGAUGCACUGAAAACCCCGUCACGACGAUCGCUUUCGAGCUCUCGUCGCCGUGGCGAGGAUUUUUGUACAUCAGUUCCGUUUGAUCUUCACUGACAUUCGGUCGUCCACGUGGAUAACUCCGUAGGUUAGCAACUCGCGGCGGUUUAGUAAAUCCUGAAAGAUCGGUGAAACUGCAUAGAGGACCCGUAAGCCUAACCUCCGAUAACAAACGCGAAGUGAGCAACACACUGCUCCUUGCCUCACGGACGUUCUAUUGCCGAGUCUUGCAGACUUUUGCGUGCACCUUCUAUUAAGUUAUUUCUCAAUUUGUUAUUCUUUCUAAAAUCAAGUUAAUUCUGUGCGUGUGUGUGAACCGCGCGUCAAACGAAGGCGCGGUUAUUGUGUGCGGAGCGGAACGGGAGAAUUGUUCCCGUUCGUGUGAGAGAGUAAGUGGGAGUAAAUGUUAAUUCACGGUUCCGUCUUCAAAAUCGUACCUCGAGUCAUUCAAAUUGUAAACCUUUUUGUAUCUUUCCUUUUCGCAUACUUUUCACAUCUACUUCUGUUCUCGUCGAACCUUCUGUUUCUAUGUCAAUAAAUCUAAUUUCCCGGUUAA